rnacentral:rRNA from 1 species
GACGAACGCUGGCGGCGUGCUUAACACAUGCAAGUCGAACGGAAAGGCCCUGCUUUUGUGGGGUGCUCGAGUGGCGAACGGGUGAGUAACACGUGAGUAACCUGCCCUUGACUUUGGGAUAACUUCAGGAAACUGGGGCUAAUACCGGAUAGGAGCUCCUGCUGCAUGGUGGGGGUUGGAAAGUUUCGGCGGUUGAGGAUGGACUCGCGGCUUAUCAGCUUGUUGGUGGGGUAGUGGCUUACCAAGGCUUUGACGGGUAGCCGGCCUGAGAGGGUGACCGGCCACAUUGGGACUGAGAUACGGCCCAGACUCCUACGGGAGGCAGCAGUGGGGAAUAUUGCACAAUGGGCGGAAGCCUGAUGCAGCAACGCCGCGUGCGGGAUGACGGCCUUCGGGUUGUAAACCGCUUUCGCCUGUGACGAAGCGUGAGUGACGGUAAUGGGUAAAGAAGCACCGGCUAACUACGUGCCAGCAGCCGCGGUGAUACGUAGGGUGCGAGCGUUGUCCGGAUUUAUUGGGCGUAAAGGGCUCGUAGGUGGUUGAUCGCGUCGGAAGUGUAAUCUUGGGGCUUAACCCUGAGCGUGCUUUCGAUACGGGUUGACUUGAGGAAGGUAGGGGAGAAUGGAAUUCCUGGUGGAGCGGUGGAAUGCGCAGAUAUCAGGAGGAACACCAGUGGCGAAGGCGGUUCUCUGGGCCUUUCCUGACGCUGAGGAGCGAAAGCGUGGGGAGCGAACAGGCUUAGAUACCCUGGUAGUCCACGCUGUAAACGGUGGGUACUAGGUGUGGGGUCCAUUCCACGGGUUCCGUGCCGUAGCUAACGCUUUAAGUACCCCGCCUGGGGAGUACGGCCGCAAGGCUAAAACUCAAAGGAAUUGACGGGGCCCCGCACAAGCGGCGGAGCAUGCGGAUUAAUUCGAUGCAACGCGUAGAACCUUACCUGGGUUUGACAUGGAUCGGGAGUGCUCAGAGAUGGGUGUGCCUCUUUUGGGGUCGGUUCACAGGUGGUGCAUGGCUGUCGUCAGCUCGUGUCGUGAGAUGUUGGGUUAAGUCCCGCAACGAGCGCAACCCUUGUUCACUGUUGCCAGCACGUUAUGGUGGGGACUCAGUGGAGACCGCCGGGGUCAACUCGGAGGAAGGUGGGGAUGACGUCAAGUCAUCAUGCCCCUUAUGUCCAGGGCUUCACGCAUGCUACAAUGGCUGGUACAGAGAGUGGCGAGCCUGUGAGGGUGAGCGAAUCUCGGAAAGCCGGUCUCAGUUCGGAUUGGGGUCUGCAACUCGACCUCAUGAAGUCGGAGUCGCUAGUAAUCGCAGAUCAGCAACGCUGCGGUGAAUACGUUCCCGGG